UACGAAGGGGGCUAGCGUUGCUCGGAAUCACUGGGCGUAAAGGGUGCGUAGGCGGGUCUUUAAGUCAGAGGUGAAAUCCUGGAGCUCAACUCCAGAACUGCCUUUGAUACUGAGGAUCUUGAGUUCGGGAGAGGUGAGUGGAACUGCGAGUGUAGAGGUGAAAUUCGUAGAUAUUCGCAAGAACACCAGUGGCGAAGGCGGCUCACUGGCCCGGUACUGACGCUGAGGUGCG
rnacentral:rRNA from 1 species